UACGUAGGGGGCAAGCGUUGUCCGGAUUUAUUGGGCGUAAAGCGAGCGCAGGCGGAAAGAUAAGUCUGAUGUGAAAGCCCCCGGCUUAACCGAGGAAUUGCAUCGGAAACUGUGUUUCUUGAGUGCAGAAGAGGAGAGUGGAACUCCAUGUGUAGCGGUGGAAUGCGUAGAUAUCAGGAGGAACACCGGCGGCGAAGGCGGCUUACUGGACUGUAACUGACGUUGAGGCUCGAAGGCGUGGGGAGCAAACAGG
rnacentral:rRNA from 1 species